rnacentral:rRNA from 1 species
AACCUGGUUGGGUGGUCUGCCUUCACGGUACGUACUGCUUGGCCGGGUUCUACCUCUUGGUGAGCCAGCAUGCUCUUAACUGGGUGUGAUGGGAAAUCAGGACUGUUACUUUGAAAAAAUUAGAGUGUUUAAAGCAGGCUAACGUCUGAAUACAUUAGCAUGGAAUAAUGAAAUAGGACGGACUGAUUCUAUUUCGUUGGUUUCUAGGAUCACCGUA